GAUGAACGCUGACAGAAUGCUUAACACAUCAGCAAUUGAUUGGUGGCGGACGGGUGAGUAACGCGUAAAGAACUUACCUCACAGUUAGGGACAACAUUUGGAAACGAAUGCUAAUACCAAAUCCUGUGAGAGAGCUUUGCGUCCCAUUAGCUAGUUGGAGAGGUAACGGGUCACCAAGGCGAUGAUGGGUAGCCGGCCUGAGAGGGUGAUCGGCCACAAUGUGACUGAGACACGGCCCUUACUCAUACGGGAGGCAGCAGUGGGGAAUGUAGGACAAUGGGCCAAAGUCUGAUCCAGCAAUUCUGUGUGCACGAUGAAGUUUUCGGAAUGUAGAGUGCUUUCAGUUGAAAAGCGGUACCAACAGAAGAAGUGACGGCUAAAUACGUGCCAGCCGCCGCGGUAAUAC
rnacentral:rRNA from 1 species